rnacentral:rRNA from 1 species
UGGGGAAUAUUGCACAAUGGGCGCAAGCCUGAUGCAGCCAUGCCGCGUGUGUGAAGAAGGCCUUCGGGUUGUAAAGCACUUUCAGUCGUGAGGAAGGUAGUGUAGUUAAUAGCUGCAUUAUUUGACGUUAGCGACAGAAGAAGCACCGGCUAACUCCGUGCCAGCAGCCGCGGUAAUACGGAGGGUGCGAGCGUUAAUNGGAAUUACUGGGCGUAAAGCGCAUGCAGGUGGUUUGUUAAGUCAGAUGUGAAAGCCCGGGGCUCAACCUNGGAAUUGCAUUUGAAACUGGCAGACUAGAGUACUGUAGAGGGGGGUAGAAUUUCAGGUGUAGCGGUGAAAUGCGUAGAGAUCUGAAGGAAUNCCGGUGGCGAAGGCGGCCCCCUGGACAGAUACUGACACUCAGAUGCGAAAGCGUGGGGAGCAAACAGGAUUAGAUACCCUGGUAGUCCACGCCGUAAACGAUGUCUACUUGGAGGUUGUGGCCUUGAGCCGUGGCUUUCGGAGCUAACGCGUAAGUAGACCGCCUGGGGA